GAUGAACGCUGACAGAAUGCUUAACACAUGCAAGUCUUUGGCGAAGCUGUGCUUGCACAGCCUAGCCAAGGCGGACGGGUGAGUAACGCGUAAGGAACUUGCCCUGCAGUCAGGGAUAACAGACGGAAACGACUGAUAAGACCUGGUAAAGUCAGGCGGACUCAUGUCCAGCCUGAUGAAAAGAGAUGCUGCAGGAGAGCCUUGCGUCCUAUUAGCUUGUUGGUGGGGUAACGGCCCACCAAGGCGAUGAUAGGUAGCCGGCCUGAGAGGGUGGACGGCCACAAGGGGACUGAGAUACGGCCCUUACUCCUACGGGAGGCAGCAGUGGGGAAUAUUGGACAAUGGGGGCAACCCUGAUCCAGCAAUUCUGUGUGCACGAUGAAGGUUUUCGGAUUGUAAAGUGUUUUCAGCAGGGAAGAAAAAAAUGACGGUACCUGCAGAAGAAGCGACGGCUAAAUACGUG
rnacentral:rRNA from 1 species